ACUGCUCAGUAACACGUGACUAACCUACCUUUAAGUGGGGAAUAACCUCGGGAAACCGGGGCUAAUACCGCAUAAUACCGAGAGGUCAAAGGAGGAAUCCGCUUGAAGAGGGGGUCGCGGCUGAUUAGCUAGUUGGUAGGGUAAUGGCCUACCAAGGCAGUGAUCAGUAUCCGGCCUGAGAGGGCGCACGGACACACUGGAACUGAAACACGGUCCAGACUCCUACGGGAGGCAGCAGUGGGGAAUUUUGCACAAUGGGGGAAACCCUGAUGCAGCAACGCCGCGUGGAGGAUGAAGCCCCUUGGGGCGUAAACUCCUUUCGAUCGGGACGAUUAUGACGGUACCGGAAGAAGAAGCACCGGCUAACUCUGUGCCAGCAGCCGCGGUAAUACAGAGGGUGCAAGCGUUGUUCGGAAUUAUUUGGCGUAAAGGGCGCGUAGGCGGUGCGGUAAGUCUCUUGUGAAAUCUCCGGGCUCAACUCGGAGCCUGCAAGGGAAACUGCCGUGCUUGAGUAUGGGAGAGGUGAGUGGAAUUCCCGGCGUAGCGGAGAAAUGCGUAGAUAUCGGGAGGAACACCUGUGGCGAAAGCGGCUCACUGGACCAUAACUGACGCUGAGGCGCGAAAGCUAGGGGAGCAAACAGGAUUAGAUACCCUGGUAGUCCUAGCCCUAAACGAUGAUUGCUUGGUGUGGCGGGUACCCAAUCCCGCCGUGCCGGAGUUAACGCGAUAAGCAAUCCGCCUGGGGAGUACGGUCGCAAGGCUGAUACUCAAAGGAAUUGGCGGGGGAGCAC
rnacentral:rRNA from 1 species